rnacentral:rRNA from 1 species
ACGGAGGGUGCGAGCGUUAAUCGGAAUCACUGGGCGUAAAGCGCACGUAGGCGGUGUCGUAAGUCGGAUGUGAAAGCCCUCGGCUCAACCGGGGAACUGCAUUUGAUACUGCGAUGCUUGAGUGCCGGAGAGGGGAGCGGAAUUCCAGGUGUAGGGGUGAAAUUCGUAGAUAUUCGGAAGAACACCAGUGGCGAAGGCGGCCAACUGGACGGGUAUUGACGCUGAGGUGCGAAAGCGUGGGGAGCAAACAG